ensembl:lncRNA
UCACAAUCAAGAUAUAUUUCUUUAUGGAAAAAUUUUGUACAAUUACAGAUAAAAGAACAAGGAGGGUUUCAGAAAAUAGGUCAUUCUAGCAUCACAAAAUAUUUCAAUUGUACUAAAAAGGUAGUAUUGAGUUUCAUACUAAAUUUGGACGUCUUUAAGUUGAAAAAAGUUUAUUUGCUAAAACAGAAGUAUCCAUUGUCUCAUUAAGCUUCAAAACAGAAGAUAUAUGAUAACUCCAGGGAUGCCCUCCAUUUUUUGAAUGCAUUUUGUUGCUACUAUUUGGAAAAAAAUGCUAUAGCACUUUGAUAAAAUAUUGGCUUGGCUUGACUCAGUAAAUCAUUAGUUUGAGGUUUUCCACACACAUUAUUUUCAGGUGAACAAAAUCUUCUGCCAAAGCGUAUUGAGAGAAGGCAGUUUGCAUACGCAAAAAAAAAAAAAAAACCAAAAGUCAAUCAAAUUUUGUUUCAGUGACCUUCCAUUUGCAUAUUCGUGGAUCAUUGGACAUGAGAUUUACUUUAAACGUUCAUAAGAAUUAUGAGGUUCAAAAGAAAUAUAAUAAAAAUAUAAAGCUAGAGAUGAUGUGCAUCACUGCAGAGCAAAGUUACAUAAUCUGAUUGAAGUCAAAGUGUAAAAAUAAAUGCAUGUAAAUGCACCUUUAAUGAUCGAUCAUUUUAUGUAUUAUUUAGUGGAUUUCAAUGGUAUGUGUUAAAUAGUUCAGUUUUUGCUACCUACACGUUAGCCAAAAGAGAUGUAAAUACUUUUGAAUAGAAAAGAGGGUACACUGUAAAGUACUGCUAUCUAUAGGUACUCCAUUUCAAUUGUUCAACAUACUUUUAAAAUGCAAGGUUUCACCAUGCAGGUGAUAAGGUGGUUUAUGUGCUAUUUAAGGGCAGAAGGUGUGUGCCCAUUCACUAAGCAUGUUCUUUGCCAGAUAGUAAAUUUCUCCAUCUCUGUAUUUAUCACUGCAUUUCAGAUGGGAACUAGAGAACUGGAGACAAAAUGUAAAUGGAAUUGCUGCUGUAAAUUAUUUCUUUUAGCAUGUAUUCAGUUGUUAAAUACACAUUUCUUCAAAAUAUUGGAAUUUGGAUGUCUUUACUCUUCCCACCAGCAUCUAGUGUGAAAGAAGACAAGCUGGAAGGGUCUUUCAGAUCAAGACUAAUGAUGCUAAAGAAAUCAGCACAUUGACUUCCCUCAGUGUAGUUAUACUUGAGAGGUGCUCAUUGUGAUAAUGUGACAUGUGUGUAUUUUUUCUCAACUGAAAUUUAAAUUCAACAUCCAUUGUAUAUUAUGUGAUUGAAAUUCUAUGAAGAUUUUUGUCAUAAUUAUGAACAAUUUUUGUUUUCUGGAGCCCUUACAAGAGACAGUCAAUUGAAAAAUCUUAUUCCUCAAUUUGAUAUAUGGCUACUAAGUGUGGAACAAUCAUCAUUUUUUUAAGAGUACCUACAAAAUAUAGUCUUGUUUAAACACAAACCGUAUCUUUCUUAAGACAAAAGUCCUAUUCUUUUUGUGUAAGGUUUAAUGAAAAAAUUUGUUUGACUUAAAAUAGUAUGUAAAACAUUAGAAGUUUUUUUUAAUGAAGAUAUGUGCUACUUAAAAUAAAUGGC